rnacentral:piRNA from 1 species
UGUUAGUCACGUGAUAAUCUUCUCCAAC